rnacentral:rRNA from 1 species
UACAGGGGGGGCAAGCGUUGUUCGGAAUUACUGGGCGUAAAGGGCUCGUAGGUGGCCAACUAAGUCAGACGUGAAAUCCCUCAGCUUAACUGGGGAACUGCGUCUGAUACUGGAUGGCUAGAGUCCGGUAGGGGACCACGGAAUUCCUGGUGUAGCGGUGAAAUGCGCAGAUAUCAGGAGGAACACCGGUGGCGAAGGCGGUGGUCUGGGCCGGCACUGACGCUGAGACGCGAAAGCGUGGGGAGCAAACAGG